UCCGAGUUGACCCCGGCAGUCUCCUGCGAGUCCCCGCCAUUACGCGCUGGCAACACAGGACAAGGGUUGCGCUCGUUGCGGGACUUAACCCAACAUGUCACCACACGAGCUGACGACAGCCAUGCAGCACCUGUCAUCCGGUCGUAUUGCUACGAAAGCCGUGUCUCCACGGUUGUCCGGAGAUGUCAAACCCAGGUAAGGUUCUUCGCGUUGCUUCGAAUUAAACCACAUGAUCCACCGCUUGUGCGGGCCCCCGUCAAUUCCUUUGAGUUUUAGUCUUGCGACCGUACUUCCCAGGCGGGGUACUUAGUGCGUUAGCUCCGGCUCAGCAGGGGUCAAGACCCGCCCAGCCUAGUACCCAUCGUUUACAGCGUGGACUAC
rnacentral:misc_RNA from 1 species